GGAACUGUGAGAGUGUCUUAAGUGAGUUCCCUCCCCAAGGAACUCCUGAACUCAGCUGCUGGCCUGCCUCUGGCUUCUGUCCCCACCAAAUUCGAUUCUCGAGUCCACCUCUUCAGCCGCUUCUCCCCUUCACCUUAUCAAACCCUCUCUCUUCCCCUGCCCAGUAAGUGUCCUCUCUCCCACCGCAUGGGCAGUUCUCCUCAGGGAAGGCUUGCCUCUCCAGCUGUUUUCUCCUCUGCCUGCAUUGACCGAGCGCGCCUCUCCCCCUACACUGGGCUCUCAGAAGUUCUCUUCAAACAGUGGACAGAAUUUGUGAGGACCAAAGUUAUGUUUUAAGUUUUAGUUACUGUGCCUAAGAGACACAUGAAACAAAAAUGCCUCUAAUCUGCAAAGAGAGACAGUUCCUGAAAUGCUGGAGGCUAUUGUUUAUGGGAGACAGCAAGCCACACAUUUUCACUCCCCUAAACAAGUCUGCUUGACCCAUCUACACCCAAUAUACUUGAUCACGUGUGGCUGGGAAGUUCCUGGGACCCUGCCACGGCCUCUGCAUCAGCUCCUGCCACCAGAUUCCCUCCCUGCUCGAAUUCUUGUCUGGAAUCUGUUUUAUGAUGGAUUGUGAUAUAAUAGUGUAAACCCUUUCCUUCCCAACUUGCUUAUGUUCAUGGAGUUUUAUCACAGUAAUAGAAACUCUAGUUUAGACAACCAUGGGCUCAAUCAUCAUCACCACCAUCACCAUCAUCACAAUUAUCAUUGUCACCUUCAUCACCAUCAGCACCUCCAUCGUUGUCAUCAUCUUCACCACUGUCUUCAUCAUCAUCAUCAUCAUCACAGCACCACCACCACCAAACAACAACAACAACACGGCCCAUUAUUACCAGUAUCAUCGACACCACCAUCAUCACUGUCUCCUCCUGAUUGCCUCCUGUUAUUCAAUGCUUGUUAUAUAGACACUGUUCUGGACUCUUCACUCGUGUUAUCUGAUUGAAUCUCCUCACACCACAUAGGACAGGAACUGUGGUUACCCUCUUCCUGGAGAUUAGAGAAAGAAGCAGGGAAUGCUGGGCUGCAGGCGGUGGGGCUUCCUGGGACUUCUCUGCUGCUCUGCCCUGUGCGCGGCACUGCACCGCCAUCUUGUGGUGACAGAUGGGCAAACAAGGGUCGUGGAGACUGAACUGGAGAGUCUCAGGGCCGAUUUCUCUGGGACCCAGUACCCUACUGUGCCCUGGAACCUACAUGGGCUACUGCCACCCCAGCUUCAAGCUUCACAUUUGUGCCCAGGUCCUGACCUUGGGUCUCGCAGCUAUUACAGAGAGAAGGGCUCAAGUGUGAGUUGGGGCAAACGCUGUUUGUGACUUCGUCUUGGCUUUGCCCAAUGAGGCAACGAUGGCAUCUCGGUGUUCUUUGAGGUUCCUGUGGGUACGUAUGGCAAUAUUCUGCACGCACAAGAGCACAGCAGCUGGCAGAUGUAAAAGAUGGGGUGACCCAGAGAUGCCACCUGUUACGGGGGGGCUUGGAGUUCCAGUGUUGUAAGUACUUGGUCCCCUGUGUACCUGUGUGUGUGCAUGCGAGGACCCUGCUCUGAUCACUGUCCUCGGAGUGGACCCUGCUCUGAUCACUGUCCUCGGAGUGGACCCUGCUCUGAUCACUGUCCUCGGAGUGGACCCUGCUCUGAUCACUGUCAUCGGAGUGGACCCUGCUCUGAUCACUGUCAUCGGAGUGGACCCUGCUCUGAUCACUGUCAUCGGAGUGGACCAUCCCACAGCAUUGAACAACUUCCCCCAUCUCCCCCAUCUUCUUUGUCUUCGUUUUCCUUUUCGGUUUGUUGUUUGUGAGAAAGGGUCUCCAGCACCCAGGCUGGCCUCCUACAUUCUCUGUCACUGAGAAUGACCUUAAAUUUCUAAUCCUGCCUCUACGCACCAAUGCUAGGAUGACAGGAUGUAUCACUACACCUGUUUAUGCAGAGCUGCGUAUGGAAGCCAGGGCUCCAUGCAUGCUAAGCCAGCCUUCCACCAAAUGAGCCAAGCCUCAGUCCAGCAAAUGCUUCAGAAUAUUUCUUAACUGGGGAGAUGACUCAGUUAAGUGGCUGUCAAACAGCACAAGGACAUAUUUGCACCUUGGUACCCACAUCAAAGGCUUGGUACAGCAGUGCAUCCUACAAUCCCAGUGCUGGGGAGGCAGAGACACGUAGUUCAGUGGUCAGUCAUUCUAGUUGAAUGGGCAAGCUGAGGCUCAGUGAGAGACCAUCCCUCAAAAGCUGAGGUGGAGAGUUGUCAGAACAUGGUCCAAGAAUGCAGCUGUGUGUGCAGGAUUCAGAGCGCUUGCGAGAAACUCCAAGAAACAAGGCAAGGGUCCUGUGACCUCCAUUUCUUCAAAACAUGGAGUUGUUCUUGGAAAGUGUUUUCAGGCUCCUCCCAAGUAUGGCAGAUAGGACUGGGUUCACUUCAGAUUACUCACUACAACUGGCUGUUAUUUGCUUACAAUGGAAAACACGUUUCUGCCUCGUGGGCCACGGGAGGCUUGCCCUUGUGACUGUCCUCUUUACUAAUGUGACUCCACUUAAUCCUCAGAGUAUAAAUCGUCUGAUGCUCUGAAUAAAGCUGGAUAUUGUGUGA